UGACGAGUGGCGGACGGGUGAGUAACACGUGGGAAACCUACCUCUUAGCAGGGGAUAACAUUUGGAAACAGAUGCUAAUACCGUAUAACAAUAGCAACCGCAUGGUUGCUACUUAAAAGAUGGUUCUGCUAUCACUAAGAGAUGGUCCCGCGGUGCAUUAGUUAGUUGGUGAGGUAAUGGCUCACCAAGACGAUGAUGCAUAGCCGAGUUGAGAGACUGAUCGGCCACAAUGGGACUGAGACACGGCCCAUACUCC
rnacentral:rRNA from 1 species